rnacentral:rRNA from 1 species
GACGAACGCUGGCGGCGUGCUUAACACAUGCAAGUCGAACGGUGAAGCGCCUUCCUUUUUGGUGGGUGUGGAUGAGUGGCGAACGGGUGAGUAACACGUGAGUAACCUGCCCCCUUCUUCUGGAUAACCGCAUGAAAGUGUGGCUAAUACGGGAUAUUCUGGGUCUGUCGCAUGAUGGGUCUGGGAAAGAUAUUGUUUCGGUGGGGGAUGGGCUCGCGGCCUAUCAGCUUGUUGGUGGGGUGAUGGCCUACCAAGGCGGUGACGGGUAGCCGGCCUGAGAGGGUGGACGGUCACACUGGGACUGAGACAAGGCCGAGACUCAUAUGGGAGGCAGCAGUGGGGAAUAUUGCACAAUGGGGGCAAGCCUGAUGCAGCGACGCCGCGUGAGGGAUGGAGGCCUUCGGGUUGUGAACCUCUUUCGCCAGUGAAGCAGGCCUGCCUCGUAUGUGGGUGGGUUGACGGUAGCUGGAUAAGAAGCGCCGGCUAACUACGUG